rnacentral:rRNA from 1 species
UACGGAGGGUGCAAGCGUUGUUCGGAAUUACUGGGCGUAAAGAGCGUGUAGGCGGCUGACCAAGUCCGGUGUGAAAGCCCGGGGCUUACCCCCGGAAGUGCGCUGGAAACUGGUCGACUAGAGUAUGGGAGAGGGAAGUGGAAUUCCUGGUGUAGCGGUGAAAUGCGUAGAUAUCAGGAGGAACACCGGCGGCGAAGGCGGCUUCCUGGACCAAUACUGACGCUGAGACGCGAAAGCGUGGGGAGCAAACAGG